UGCCUACGGGAGGCAGCAGUGGGGAAUAUUGCACAAUGGGGGGAACCCUGAUGCAGCGACGCCGCGUGAGUGAAGAAGUAUUUCGGUAUGUAAAGCUCUGUCAGCAGGGAAGAAGAAAGACGGUACCUGACCAAGAAGCCCCGGCUAACUACGUGCCAGCAGCCGCGGUAAUACGUAGGGGGCAAGCGUUAUCCGGAUUUACUGGGUGUAAAGGGAGCGUAGACGGCAGGGCAAGUCUGGAGUGAAAGGCAGGGGCCCAACCCAUGGACUGAUCUGGAAAAUGUCAGGAUGGAGUGGAGGGGAGG
rnacentral:rRNA from 1 species